rnacentral:rRNA from 1 species
GUGGGGAAUAUUGGACAAUGGGCGAAAGCCUGAUCCAGCCAUGCCGCGUGUGUGAAGAAGGUCUUCGGAUUGUAAAGCACUUUAAGUUGGGAGGAAGGGCAGUAAGUUAAUACCUUGCUGUUUUGACGUUACCGACAGAAUAAGCACCGGCUAACUUCGUACCAGCAGCCGCGGUAAUACGAAGGGUGCAAGCGUUAAUCGGAAUUACUGGGCGUAAAGCGCGCGUAGGUGGUUUUGUAAGUUGGAGGUGAAAUCCCCGGGCUCAACCUGGGAACUGCCUCCAAAACUGCAUGACUAGAGUACGUUAGAGGGUAGUGGAAUUUCCUGUGUAGCGGUGAAAUGCGUAGAUAUAGGAAGGAACACCAGUGGCGAAGGCGACUACCUGGACUGAUACUGACACUGAGGUGCGAAAGCGUAGGGAGCAAACAGGAUUAGAUACCCGGGUAGUCC